GAAAACGUGAGUGCAUUAAAGCGAAAGCGAAAUUGAAAUUAAAUCUAAUGUUAAUUCUAAUCUUAAUUAAAUUGUUAAAAACUAUAAUUCCAUAUUGCCUAAUUUCCACACUACGCAUAUGUGAAUUCGUCGUGGUAAAUAACCUAGAUUCCUGCAAUUGAUACAAUCCCGCAAGGCGGCUGAAAUAAUAUUCACAAGGCUGAACAAUACGCAAUUACAGUUAAUGGGCGACUAAACGUGAGUA